GGACCCGCACAAGCAGUGGAGUAUGUGGUUUAAUUCGAAGCAACGCGAAGAACCUUACCAGGGCUUGACAUAUACAUGAAAAGUGCAGAGAUGUACUCCUGUCUUCGGACACAUGUAAACAGGUGGUGCAUGGUUGUCGUCAGCUCGUGUCGUGAGAUGUUGGGUUAAGUCCCGCAACGAGCGCAACCCUUAUUGUUAGUUGCCAGCAUUAAGUUGGGCACUCUAGCGAGACUGCCGGUGAUAAAUCGGAGGAAGGUGGGGACGACGUCAAAUCAUCAUGCCCCUUAUGUCCUGGGCUACACACGUACUACAAUGGUCGUAACAGAGGGCAGCAAGCUGGUGACAGCAAGCGAAUCCCAAAAAACGAUCUCAGUUCAGAUUGUAGGCUGCAACUCGCCUACAUGAAGUCGGAAUUGCUAGUAAUCGCAGGUCAGCAUACUGCGGUGAAUACGUUCCCGGGUCUU
rnacentral:rRNA from 1 species